rnacentral:rRNA from 1 species
UAUCAAUAAGCGGAGGAAAGAAACCACAGGGAUGCCCAGUACGGCGAGUGAAGCGGCACAGCUCAAUUGAAUCUGGCGCUGCCCCGAGUUGUAAUUUGCAGAGGAUGCUUCUGGCAAAGUGCCUUCCGAGUUCCCUGGAACGGGACGCCAUAGAGGGUGAGAGCCCCGUACGGUCGGUUGCUGCGCCGCUGUGAAGCGCCUUCGACGAGUCGAGUAGUUUGGGAAUGCUGCUCUAAAUGGGAGGUAAACUCCUUCUAAAGCUAAAUAUUGGCCAGAGACCGAUAGCGCACAAGUAGAGUGAUCGAAAGAUGAAAAGCACUUUGAAAAGAGAGUCAAACAGCACGUGAAAUUGUUGAAAGGGAAGCGCUUGUGACCAGACUUGGGCUUGGUAGUUCAGCCGUCCUUCUGGGCGGUGCACUCUGCCGGUUCAGGCCAGCAUCAGUUGUCGGUCGGGGAGAAAGAUGGCGGGAACGUGGCUCUUCGGAGUGUUAUAGCCCGCUAUUAUGCCCUUCCGGCGACUGAGGUUAGCGUUCUGCACGGAUGCUGGCGUAAUGGUUAUCAGCGACCCGUCUUGAAACACGGACCAAGGAGUCAUCCUAAUAUGCGAGUGUUUGGGUGUCAAACCCCUACGCGGAAUGAAAGUAAACGGAGGUGAGAGCUUCGGCGCAUCAUCGACCGAUCCUGAUGUUUUCGGAUGGAUUUGAGUAAGAGCAUAUUGGGCUGGACCCGAAAGAAGGUAAGCAGAACCCCUACAUCCAGUAUCCCAUCCAGCAUGGCUUGCCGGGAAGUAGUGGUAUAAUAGCAGGUACUAGUGGGUUUAUGAUCGGUGGGCUUGCUGUUGUGCCGCUAGUUGUCGUGCUAUGCCUGCUGGAUUUCCCGUGCUACGAGUGACAUGUUAAACCGCGAGAAUAUGCUAACAGAAAACAGGUGAACUAUGCUUGGAUAGGGCAAAGCCAGAGGAAACUCUGGUGGAGGCUCGCAGCGGUUCUGACGUGCAAAUCGAUCGUCAAAUCUGAGCAUGGGGGCGAA